GAGUUCAGUAGUGUGAGCUUGUAGCCCAAACAUGGGCAACAAAGUGGUUGAAAGUCAGUCCAAUCCAAAAGUAGGGUCUUCAAAUGAUAAUCUCUGGCCUCCCUGUUCCAAGUAGGGAGUUCGACCUUGGGCUUUGGGAGAAAACCUGAAUUCUAUUGUCACUAGAAAUGGAGGGAACCAUGUGAGGCUGGUUUCACUGAGCAACAUCACCUCCCACUCUUUUCAGUGAAAGAAUACAUGUUGGUCCUUGGUAGCCCAAUAAUGUCCCAUGGGAAGUUCUCAGCCCGACAACCACUUUU
rnacentral:SRP_RNA from 1 species